rfam:Heterocephalus glaber contig168510, whole genome shotgun sequence.
ACAACGGCUCUUUUCAGAGCCAUUUCCAUAGUCCUAAGAGAUAGU